rnacentral:rRNA from 1 species
UACGAAGGGGGCUAGCGUUGCUCGGAAUCACUGGGCGUAAAGCGCACGUAGGCGGACUCUUAAGUCGGUGGUGAAAUCCUGGAGCUCAACUCCAGAACUGCCUCCGAUACUGGGAGCCUUCGAGUCCGGGAGAGGUGAGUGGAACUGCGAGUGUAGAGGUGAAAUUCGUAGAUAUUCGCAAGAACACCAGUGGCGAAGGCGGCUCACUGGCCCGGUACUGACGCUGAGGUGCGAAAGCGUGGGGAGCAAACCGG